UUUCGAUGCAGCAGGAAACAUUCUGAAAUUGGAAUGAUACAGAGAAGAUAAGCAUGGUACUAGAAGAAGGAGGACGGGCAAAGAUGUGAAGUGUUCCAGAUUUUU